GAACCCGUUGCCUGCCGGGACUUGUGCUUGAAGAUACCAAACCCAACUCAACCUCAACAGCGGUCAAAACUCGCCGUUUCACUUGCUUUCCUCCUCUACAUUUUUGAGUCCCGUGAUUCUCUCUCUCACUCAUUUAAGCUCCAAUGCUCUGUUUGGUUGCUGAGAAAAACUGAGAGCAAGCUAUGCCACUCUGUGAAGCUUGAGUUUUCCUGUUUUGGGGUAUUUGUCAGGUAGCAGAGUUGGAAUAAAUUUCAGAUGGAAGAGGAGAAUGCCGUGGAGCUUUUGCAACGGUAUCGUCGGGACAGGCGAAUACUUCUGGAUUUUAUACUUGCCGGUAGCUUAAUAAAGAAGGUGAUAAUGCCUCCUGGUGCGGUUACUCUAGAUGUGGAUCUAGGCCAAGUUAGUGUUGAUUAUGUGCUCAAUUGUGCUAAGAAAGGUGGAAUGCUUGAACUCUCGGAAGCUAUUAGAGACUACCAUGACCAUACUGGGUUACCCCAGAUGAACAGUACAGGUUCUGCUGGUCAAUUCUUUUUGGUUACAAAUCCUGAGUUUUCCGGUUCUCCUCCAAAACGGGCACCACCACCUGUUCCGGACUUCGUGCCACCUCCUGUUCUAACUCUACCUCCUGGUGUCUUAUCAUCUAUUCCUGACCUUGACUCAUCUCCGGUUGCAUCAAGUGUGUCAAAGUCCGAAUCUUUUAACUACACACAAGCCUAAGAACUGACUGUAGAUGAUAUUGAAGAUUUCGAGGAUAUUGAUGAGGCUGACAGUCUCCGGAUUUCAAGAAGGAUGCGAAACGAUGCUACUGAUCUUUCGCUUGGAUUGCCUUCUUUUAAGACAGGUAUCACAGAAGAUGAUCUCCGUGAAACUGCAUAUGAAGUCCUUUUGGCAUGUGCUGGUGCUGCAGGGGGUCUGAUUGUGCCGUCAAAAGAGAAAAAGAAAGACAAAAGGUCCAAGCUGAUGAGGAAACUUGGACGUAGUAGAAAUGAAAAUCCUUUGAGUCAGUCUCAACGAGCACCUGGAUUGGUUGGUUUGUUGGAGACCAUGCGUGUCCAGAUGGAGAUAUCUGAGGCAAUGGAUAUCAGAACUAGACAAGGGCUGCUUAAUGCCCUAGCUGGAAAAGUGGGAAAAAGAAUGGAUGCCCUAUUGGUUCCUCUGGAACUUCUCUGUUGUAUUUCACAAACAGAAUUUUCUGACAAGAAGGCGUAUAUACGGUGGCAGAAAAGGCAGUUGAAUAUGUUGGAGGAAGGGCUUCUUAAUUUCCCUGCUGUUGGAUUUGGGGAGUCUGGACGGAAGGCAAGUGAGUUUAGGAUUCUUUUAGCAAAAAUUGAAGAAUCUGAGUUUCUUCCACCUUCCACAGGUGAACUCCAACGAACAGAAUGCUUAAGAUCUCUUCGAGAGAUUGCCACUCCACUUGCUGAGAGGCCUGUUCGUGGUGACUUAACUGGUGAAGUAUGUCACUGGGCAGAUGGUUGUCACUUGAACAUUAGACUGUAUGAGAAACUGCUUCUCAGUGUCUUUGAUAUGUUAGAUGGGGGAAAGUUGACUGAGUCAAUCAGUGGUUUGGGAAAACUCUAUGCUCUUGGAAAUAUUUUGGAUGAUUUUGUGUAUCAAAGGCAUGGGCCAGAUUCUUAUGAACGGGUUGAAUUGGGCACUUAUCCCUUCUGUGAAUGGUAAAUUUGUGUUUUUAUUGGAUGUGUACUGCAAGGCUCUUGCCUGAUGAAUCACUUCUGAGCGAUCUCAUUCUGGAACUCGUGUCCAUACUUCCUCAAGAUUGAAAAGACAACGGCUUAGGUAAUGCCUUCUUCAUUUCCAAAACGCAUCAAACUGGAGGAGCUUGAGACUGUAUUAGAGGGAAAAUCAAAUUGUGGCCUAGUUCCUGGGUGUGUCUCGUUCUUGACCCUUCAGCAAGCAGCUCAAUUGCUUGUGUAAUUUAAAUAAUUGAUGAAGUGGCCUUUAUUUCACAUAACUUGGGUAGAAAUAUCUGGGAAAUACCAGAAAGCAAUAUGUCUGAAUCUGAGGAGAGGAGAAGAUUGAAUGCUGUCCAGAUGAGUCUCCAUCUCUUAAAGCUACAGAUAUCAGAACUAUGUGGAAUCCUGCUACUCUCUGCACUGGCGGAUCUACAGAGGCGCAAAGAGGUGCAGCUGCACCUCCCUUCGCCGGAAAAAGCUUUGGAGGUGCCUGAAAAUGCCCCUCUGCUAAUGCCCACAACAGCUAUGGUAUGUAAGCUCUAUGAGGCGCCGUCAAUGGCUUAUUCCUCUCGAAGAAGAAGACCCAACCCUGACUCAACUUUUGUUUUCCUCUAGGUUUUAAGUGAACGACGUCGGAUUGAGAUGCGUGGGUUUUUUUUAAUGAAACGAUGUGUUUCGUGUAGUCUGGUUUCAUACAAUAAAGACACUACCAUUUGUAAACCGUACUUCCCUGAUGAUAUCCCAGUUUAGGGCUGGGAAUUUAAACCGCUGAACAGGCUGAACCAGUUGAUGCUGAAUAUUUGUAAACAUUCCCGUGGUGAAUGGUUGGACACAACCAAUACUGAUGAACUCCAAACGCUAAGGAACAAAUUCUGUCUGAAGGGCUAAAACUUCCCAUUGUGCGAAUAUGCUUCGUUUCUU